rnacentral:rRNA from 1 species
CCUACGGGUGGCAGCAGUGAGGAAUAUUGGUCAAUGGACGCAAGUCUGAACCAGCCAUGCCGCGUGCGGGAAGACGGCUCUAUGAGUUGUAAACUGCUUUUGUACGGGGGUAAACUCAAAUACGCGUAUCUGUCUGAAAAUAUCGUACGAAUAAUGAUCGGCUAACUCCGUGCCAGCAGCCGCGGUAAUACGGAGGAUUCAAGCGUUAUCCGGAUUUAUUGGGUUUAAAGGGUGCGUAGGCGGUCUGAUAAGUUAGAGGUGAAAGCCCGAGGCUCAACUUCGGAAUUGCCUAUGAUACUGUGCGGCUAGAGAAUAGUUGCGGUAGGCGGAAUGUACGGUGUAGCAGUGAAAUGCUUAGAGAUCAUACAGAACACCGAUGGCGAAGGCAGCUUACCAAGCUACUUCUGACGUUGAGGCACGAAAGCGUGGGGAGCAAACAGGAUUAGAUACCCUUGUAGUC